AUUCUUAACAGCUCUCAAUUCCUUGCUGACACACAUGAACUUAGGGGCACUUCUGUUUUCCUGAGGGCUACACCGUUUUCUUUUGAAAGAGAUUCUUGAAGUGAAAAGUCCAAUAAAGCAAAGCAAAUCAGAUAAGCAAAUAAAGAAUGGUGAAUGUGACAAGGCAUACCUAGAUGAACUGGUAGAGCUUCACAGAAGGUUAAUGACGCUGAGAGAAAGACACAUUCUGCAGCAGAUCGUGAACCUUAUAGAAGAAACUGGACACUUUCAUAUCACAAACACAACAUUUGAUUUUGAUCUUUGCUCGCUGGACAAAACCACAGUCCGCAAACUACAGAGUUACCUGGAAACAUCUGGAACAUCCUGAGGAUAUGAAAACUGGAUGCAUCAAGAACAAUUGUAUUUUUUUUUUGUUUUUUUUUUUUGGUUGUGAUUUUUUGUUGUUGUUGUUU
rnacentral:sRNA from 1 species